AACAACUCUCAGCAACGGAUAUCUUGGCUCUUGCAACGAU
rnacentral:rRNA from 1 species